AUGCAAUUUAUGAACUUUAUGGACUGUUUUAUUGCUUUAAUCCUUAUUAAUGUUAUUUUAGUUUUCGCUAUCGAUUGCUUACAGCUCGACCGAUCUUAAUCGAAUUUAUUUAUAUUUAUAUGAAUAUUAUAUUAUUAUACGAUUCAUUUUUAAUCGAGUUUUGCGUAUGGAAUCGCAACAUUUAGAAACAAACAGGAUCUUUCAAGGCAAUUGUAGUCAACUUCAAAAUGUCCGAUUACCUUGAUAACUUGUACAUGUAUCAAGAACUGAUGACGCUACAAUAAUCUUAUUAAUUUCACCGAAUAUCCUGACCCGGAUCAUCAAGGCAUAAGUAAAAUUAAAAUUUUUAAUUAGACAUGUUA